rnacentral:rRNA from 1 species
AGAUCUUGGUGGUAGUAGCAAAUAAUCAAAUUAAAUCUUUGAUGACUGAAGAGGAGAAGGGUUCCCUGUGAACUGUAGUUGAACAGGGGUUAGCCGGUCCUAAGAGAUAGGUUAGACACCUGUAUCAAUGGUUAGAUAUAUACAUUCUUUCUUUUUCUAAAGUGGAAUUUAUCUCUCUACACCUUAUCUCGAAAGGGAAGCAGGUUAAUAUUCCUGCGCUUCACCUAGGAUAAGCAAGUGGUAACACAAUUGAACUUGGCCUUAUUGGAAUGGAACCCUGGAAGAGUUUUCUUUUCUUGUUAACGACGGAUCAAGCUAGUUUAAAAGCAUUGUAAAAAAGUGUUUUUGCUAUGUGAGGACCUUGGAAACAAUUUAUGUGGAGAAAAGGUUCAAUCGUCGGUAAAGCGGAUCAUUUUCUUUGAUCUGUCGGGGCUCUCCAUUGCAAUCCUUGAACAGCCAGGGGAAAAUAAUGUUUAUCUAGUGAAACCGUACCCAUAUCCGCAUCAGGUCUCCUAGGUUUAAAGCCUCUAGUCGAUAGAAUAAUGUAGGUACGGGAAGUCGGCAAAUUCGAUCCGUAACUUCGGGAUAAGGAUUGGCUCUGAGGAUUGGGUGGAUGGAACCUAUCGGGUGAUUCGUAGGUAGAAGGGAUAGUGGUUCGCGCCGCAGUCCCGGAAAUCUACGGACCGAAGAUGUGGGAACGACCACAAUUAACAAUCAAUUCAGAACUGAAGCGGACAAGGGGAAUCUAACUGUUUAAUAAAAACAUAGCAUUGUGAUGGCGUGCAAACGUGUUGACACAAUGUGAUUUCUGCCCAGUGCUCUGAAUGUCAAAGUGAAGAAAUUCAACCAAGCGCGGG